rnacentral:lncRNA from 1 species
GGUCUGUUUAGCUGCAUGUCUUGGGAAACUCAUUUCUCCUCUGUAACGUUCAGUUCCUCACCUAUAAAAUGAGAUAAUACUAACCAAUUCUUCAGAGUAGCUCAGGCAUGAAUUAAUGGUUUUGUCUACUAUAUUCUGCUAUUGGGUUUUGGAAUAAAGUAAAAAUAGUAAUGAAUAUAAAUAAGAAGGGAAUUGAGUUCAUUGCAGAUAUAAGAUGGAGACAAUUAGAUUAAAGUAUACAGCAAAGGGCCAGGCGCGGUGGCUCAUGCCUGUAAUUCCAGCACUUUGGGAGGCCGAGGCAGGUGGAUCAUGAGAGAACGAGACCAUCCUGGUCAAUAUGGUGAAACCCCAUCUCUACUAAAGAUACAAAAAAUUAGCUGGGCAUGGUGUCGCAUGCCUGUAAUUCCAGCUACUCGGGAGGCUGAGGCAGGAGAAUAGCCUGAACCCAGGAGGCGGAGGUUGCAGUGAGCCGAGAUUGCGCCAUUGCACUCCAGCCUGGGGAACAAGAGUGAAACCCUGUCUCAAAAAAAAAAAAAAGAGCCACAGUGAGACACACCCAGUCUCCAGAAGAGGUUAAUGACGCAGACUGUAGGUCUGCAACAUUAUCUU